UUGCAGAUUUGUAGACAAAGGCCUGUUUGGGACCUAACAGCAGGUUAAAAUGGACUUGAAAUCCCUUCACAUGAUAAGGCACCAUCUUCAUCCUCCAGAAGUAAGCUAACAGUUCACUGAGGUAUUACAAGCCAACUCAGUUGGACUGCUGGACAGCAUGUGUGGUACUCUUGCCCAGUCUUGCACUGGCACUUCUCCUUCACUGCUCCCACUUCCGCCACAGCAGCUCCCAUGCRGCCCCACUGCCUCCAUGUGCUGCUCGCCAUGGGUGCUGGUCUCUGCCAGCACUGUGAGGGGCCCCGAAUUACCUGCUCUGCACCUGGGGCCAUCACUGAGGGGACAGGCGAUUGGACGCGGUACAGUCCUGCUUGAGCUAGCGCCUGAACAGUGGGGACUGAUAGCUACAACGCAGCAGGCACUGCUCCACCUCGGACUCCUCCUGAGGCCAUCCCCACAGCUAGUGCUGCCCAGGCCGGGCACAGCAGACUCCGAAGCAUGGGCCGAGGCAGUGCCUGGCACCAGCCACCUCUGGCCACUCACAGAUACUGCUGAGGGUCCCAAAUAG
rnacentral:lncRNA from 1 species